GGAUGGGUGGCCGAGUGGUCGAAGGCAGCGGUCUUGAAAACCGCCGACUCGCAAGGGUCCGUGGGUUCGAAUCCCACCCCAUCCGCCA
rnacentral:tRNA from 1 species